GAUGAACGCUGGCGGCGUGCCUAAUACAUGCAAGUCGAGCGAACAGACGAGGAGUUUGCUCCUCGGACGUGAGCGGCGGGCGGGUGAGUAACACGUGGAUAACCUACCUAUACGAGGGGGAUAACUUCGGGAAACCGGAGCUAAUACCGGAUAAGAUAUUGAACCGCAUGGUUCAAUAGUGAAAGACGGUUUUGCCGUUACUUAUAGAUGGAUCCGCGCCGCAUUAGCUAGUUGGUAAGGUAACGGCUUACCACGGCAACGUUGCGUAGCCGACCGGAGGGGGUGACGGCCCACCCUGGAACUGGGCCACGGUCCAGACUCCUCCGGGAGGCAGCAGUGGGGAAUCUUCCGCAUUGGGCGAAGGCCUGACGGAGCAACGCCGCGUGGUGGAUGAGGGUCUUCGGUUCUUAAAACUCUUUUAUUGGGGAGGAACAAAUGUGUAGGUGACUGUGCACGCCUUGACGGUACCUUAUCAGAAAGCCACGGCUAACUACGUG
rnacentral:rRNA from 1 species